rnacentral:rRNA from 1 species
CAUGUCCUUUUGAGAAUGAUUUAAGGUCUAACCUGCCCAGUGAUUGAUUUUAUGAAUAUUAAAUGGCCGCGGUAUUUUGACCGUGCGAAGGUAGCAUAAUAAUUAGCUUUUUAAUUGAAGGCUGGAAUGAAUGGUUGAACGAGAAAAUUUCUGUCUCUUUUUUGAUUUGAUUAGAACUUAAUUUUUAAGUAAAAAAGCUUAAAUUUUUUUUAUAGACGAGAAGACCCUAUAGAGUUUAAUAUUUAAAUUUUAUUUUUAAUUUUAGAAUUUAUUUUAAAUUAAAAUUUUAAGUAUUUGGUUGGGGUGACAAAAAGACUUAAUUAACUCUUUUUAAAUUUAAACACUAAUUUGUGAAUGUUUGAUCCAUUUUUUGUGAAUAAAAGAUAAAAUUACCUUAGGGAUAACAGCGUUAUUUUUUCAGAGAGUUCAAAUCGAUGAAAGAAAUUGCGACCUCGAUGUUGGAUUAAAGUUAAUUUUAGGAGCAAAAGCUUAAAUAUUAGGUCUGUUCGACCUUUAAAACUUUACAUGAUCUGAGU